rnacentral:rRNA from 1 species
ACACCGGCAGCUCAAGUGGUAGCCGCUUUUAUUGGGCCUAAAGCGUCCGUAGCCGGUCUGAUAAGUCUCUGGUGAAAUCCCACAGCUUAACUGUGGGAAUUGCUGGAGAUACUAUCAUGACUCGAGGUCGGGAGAGGCUGGAGGUACUCCCAGGGUAGGGGUGAAAUCCUGUAAUCCUGGGAGGACCACCUGUGGCGAAGGCGUCCAGCUGGAACGAACCUGACGGUGAGGGACGAAAGCCAGGGGCGCGAACCGGAUUAGAUACCCGGGUAGUCCUGGCCGUAAACGAUGUGGACUUGGUGUUGGGAUGGCUUCGAGCUGCCCCAGUGCCGAAGGGAAGCUGUUAAGUCCACCGCCUGGGAAGUACGGCCGCAAGGUUGAAACUCAAAGGAAUUGGCGGGG